AGUUUGAUCAUGGCUCAGAUUGAACGCUGGCGGCAUGCUUUACACAUGCAAGUCGAACGGCAGCGGGGGCUUCGGCCUGCCGGCGAGUGGCGAACGGGUGAGUAAUACAUCGGAACGUGUCCUUAAGUGGGGAAUAACGCAUCGAAAGAUGUGCUAAUACCGCAUAUCUCUCAGGAGGAAAGCAGGGGAUCGAAAGACCUUGCGCUAAAGGAGCGGCUGAUGUCUGAUUAGCUAGUUGGUGGGGUAAAGGCUUACCAAGGCAACGAUCAGUAGCUGGUCUGAGAGGACGACCAGCCACACUGGGACUGAGACACGGCCCAGACUCCUACGGGAGGCAGCAGUGGGGAAUUUUGGACAAUGGGCGAAAGCCUGAUCCAGCCAUGCCGCGUGAGUGAAGAAGGCCUUCGGGUUGUAAAGCUUUUUUAGUCGGAAAGAAAGAGUCAUAGUAAAUAGCUAUGAUUUAUGACGGUACCGACAGAAAAAGCACCGGCUAACUACGUGCCAGCAGCCGCGGUAAUACGUAGGGUGCGAGCGUUAAUCGGAAUUACUGGGCGUAAAGGGUGCGCAGGCGGCCUUGUAAUUCAGAUGUGAAAGCCCCGGGCUUAACCUGGGAAUUGCGUUUGAAACUACAAAGCUAGAGUGCAUCAUAGAGGAGUGGAAUUCCAUGUGUAGCAUUGUAAUUGCGUACAGAUGUGGAAGAACACCGAUGGCGAAGGCAGCUCCCUGUGUUGACACUGACGCUCAUGCU
rnacentral:rRNA from 1 species